rnacentral:rRNA from 1 species
ACGAACGCUAGCGGCGUGCCUAAGGUAUGCAAGUCGAGCGGUUCUCAAUCCUUCGGGAGUGAGGAUAGCGGCGAACGGUCGAGUAACACGUAGACAACCUGCCUCCAGGUGGGGGAUAACUCGGGGAAACCCGGGCUAAUACCGCAUGCAGCCGAGAGUGGCCUCACUCUCUGGCUAAAGGAGCAAUUCGCCUGGAGAUGGGUCUGCGGCCUAUCAGCUAGUUGGUGGGGUAACGGCCCACCAAGGCGACGACGGGUAGCUGGUCUGAGAGGAUGAUCAGCCGGACGGGGACUGAGACACGGCCCCGACUCCUUCGGGAGGCAGCAAUGAGGGAUAUUGCACAAUGGGCGAAAGCCUGAUGCAGCGACGCCGCGUGGGUGAGGAAGUCCUUCGGGAUGUAAAGCCCUUUUGUUGGGGACGAAAAUGACGGUACCCAACGAAUAAGCCCCGGCUAACUACGU